GUCUUGUAGAGGGGGGUAGAAUUCCAGGUGUAGCGGUGAAAUGCGUAGAGAUCUGGAGGAAUACCGGUGGCGAAGGCGGCCCCCUGGACAAAGACUGACGCUCAGGUGCGAAAGCGUGGGGAGCAAACAGGAUUAGAUACCCUGGUAGUCCACGCCGUAAACGAUGUCUACUUGGAGGUUGUGCCCUUGAGGCGUGGCUUCCGGAGCUAACGCGUUAAGUAGACCGCCUGGGGAGUACGGCCGCAAGGUUAAAACUCAAAUGAAUUGACGGGGGCCCGCACAAGCGGUGGAGCAUGUGGUUUAAUUCGAUGCAACGCGAAGAACC
rnacentral:rRNA from 2 species